GACAGGUGAUGAAAUUAUGUAGAAAAUUGCGAAAUAAGUACGAAUUCUCAGUAUGUACAUUAAGUCAGGUGUACCUGGCUCAAGUUGGGAGGUGUGCGACUUUUGACCAAUAGAAGAAGGGAGGCGCGGUUUGACGUCACGGCUUCGUCACAAAAUAGCUUUGAUCAUCUGUUUCCGACACACACUUUUAAGUGAGACAGUCGCGGUAUUGCAGACUAAAGCGUUAUUGAACGUGAAACGUUCGGUUGUGAAAAUUUGUUACGUUCUCUGACCGUCUGAAAAUAGAAUGUUUUUAAUGCUUCAUUUUUAAAUCAAACAUUUAAUUUGUCGUAGGGAAUCUAGAAGCUGUAUAAGUGUUUGAAAAUUUUUUGGAAAAAAAGCGCGUUUUUCUCUACCAGAAAAUUUGCACUUCAUUUAGAACUUCGUAUUUUGAGAUUGAUUUUGAAUAUGGAAAUGGUAUGGUGGAAUAUUUUAACGAUUCUUAUAAUCACUCAGUUUUCCUCCGGUUCUGAUGUUUUGGUACCCCCUUGCCCCAGCGAAAUUUAUUGCCAUGGACCUCUUUUACAUACUGUGCAAAUGGCGAAAAUUCACGAAGAUUCCAAAACUUUUGUUGACAUGAAACUGAAAUAUCCUCCCAAUGAAACCUUAGUAAAAUUCGAUGAAUUCAUGGUGGAAAAUCACAACAAGCCAAGUAAGACUCAAAUAGAGGAGUUUGUGCUCAGGACAUUCGAGUCUGCUGGAGGUGAGUUCCAGACUUGGGAUCCCAAGGACUGGAUAAGUAAACCGAAAUUCACGGAAAAAAUCAAGGAUCCUCAGUUGCAAGGAUUCGCUUUGGAGUUGAACAAGAUCUGGAAAAAAUUAGGAAGAAAAAUGAAGGAAGAAGUAAAGGAACACAAGGAUUUAUACAGUAUCAUUUGGGUUCCAAAUCCUGUAAUAGUUCCUGGGGGUAGAUUCAGGGAAUUCUAUUACUGGGAUUCUUAUUGGAUUAUCUUGGGACUUCUGCUGUCUGAAAUGGUUGCAACUACUAAAGGAAUGUUAGAAAAUUUUUUGUAUAUGGUUGAUAACUACGGUCUUAUUCCUAAUGGAGGAAGAGUUUAUUAUUUAGAACGUUCUCAACCACCGUUAUUGAUACCAAUGAUUAAACUUUAUUACGACUCCACAAAUGAUAAACAAUUUCUGAAAGACAAUAUCAGGAUAAUGGAGAAAGAGUUCAACUAUUGGUUAACAAACCAUUCGGUCCAAGUAAAUUUGGGAGGAAGAAAUUAUACGUUAGCCCAUUAUGGAGAUAGAUCUCAUGGACCUAGACCAGAAUCUUACUCAGAGGACGUUAUGAGUGCUACCUAUUUGAACGAAGCAGAAAAAGAAUCAUUUUAUUCUGAAUUGAAAGCUGCUGCUGAAUCUGGGUGGGAUUUUUCAAGCAGAUGGUUCAUUUCAAAUGGAACAAAUGCUGGUAAUCUCACUAACAUAAUGACAAGAUCAAUAAUUCCGGUAGAUCUAAAUGCUAUCAUGUAUUGGAACGCAAAACUACUAGGUGAUUACAAUAAAAUUUUGGGUGAUAGUGACAAAGCUGAGUAUUACUAUCACAUAAGUAAAGAAUGGAUGGAAGCUGUAACAGCCGUGUUAUGGCAUGAAGAAAUUGGUUCCUGGUUGGACUAUGACAUGUUCAAUAAUGUAAAAAGAGACUACUUUUACCCUUCAAACAUAGCACCUUUAUGGACAGGAUGCUACAAUACAACAGAAACUGAGAAGAUCACAAGAUUAGUUAUAAAAUAUUUGCACAACAAGCAUAUAAUGAAUAAUCCAGGGGGUAUUCCGACUACAAUGGCGCACACUGGGGAGCAGUGGGAUUACCCCAAUGCUUGGCCUCCAUUACAACAUAUGAUGGUCAUGGCUUUGAACAACACGGGUGAUAAAACUGCUCAAAGAUUAGCCUUUGAAAUUGCUCAAAAGUGGGUUAGAUCAAAUUUUAAAGCUUACAAAGCCACUUCAGCAAUGCUGGAAAAGUACGAUGCUACCAUUAUAGGAUCUUCAGGAGGUGGGGGUGAAUAUGCUGUUCAAGAAGGUUUUGGGUGGACAAAUGGUGUAAUGAUGGACCUUUUAGAUAAAUACAGCGACUCUAUAUUUAUGGAAGAUCCUAAUGUCGAUAAACCAACAACCAAUCAGGGUGCUGUAAUGUCGUCUUCCAGCUCUGUGAAUACGGUUCUAUUAGCUGUUUUAGUUUCAUUAGCUGCAGGUUUUAUAGGGUGAGACUGCCAGUUAUUCAGUUUUUUUAUUCUACUCACAACUGCAAAUCGUGAUAUAUAAUAUUUCACAUCAUACCAGACUUUGAUGUUUUUAGUUGACUUCACCAUAAUGCCUUGCAAAGAUGAAAAAUCUCGGUAACCUAGGAAAUUUGAGUAAUGUCUACAAAAAUUCGGUCAAUAUACAACCGAAUUUUGGUAAAGUGAUAUUAUCCAUAAGUAUUUUAGCGAAUUAAGUGGUCUUUAUGAGCAUGCGGUUGUUGAUUACUCUAACUUUUAGCUUGGAUUAUGAGGAAUUCAGAGCCAUCGAUCUGUUAUUAAGGUAUGGUUCUAGAUUUUUCGUAAUAGUUUUCCAUUUUUCAUUCUCUGUGUUUUUGUAUAUAUUUUUUAUUUAGACUUAGUUAGUUACUAAUUUUAUUCCUGCACGAAGUGGUUGUUGCCUUAUUGUUAAUCGACAAGACUUGAAUUAUUGAAUGUUUCUUAUGGUUUAUCUGUGGGCUUCUGGAGAUGAUCAAUUGUAAUCCCCAUUAAUCGAAUAAUUCCUGAAAGCUUCUGAAUAUAAUUGUAAAUUUAAUUACGUAACUAUAAAUGCUACGUAAGCUAUAAAAAUGCUGAAUAGAAAUUGCAUACUCCUCACAUUAGUGAUGGACGCUGUACUUAAUUUUGCAGGUCAUAUAUUAUGUAUUAAGAUGAUAUCAGAUAUCAGCAAAAAAUUGGCAUAGUUUCAUAUUACAUUCCUACACCAUAAACAAAUCAUCUAUUCAAUUCCGUUUGAAAAACAUUCAGACAUUCCAUUUUCCUGUGAUAGAAGUGUGAAACUUUCGUUAUUUAUUUAUACAUUUAUUAGAUCCUCUUUUAUAAUUGAGAAUCUCCAGAAACUUACACGAUUUUUGAAUAUUUUGCAAAUUAUAUGUAUGUGAUAAUAAAUAAUACAAUAGUACAAUACAAGUAUUCAUAAAACCAGUUACAACUGUGAGUGUGUGUGUUGAGGAUUAAAACUUUGAUGUCAAUUAACUUGAACUGAGGCAAAUUUCUGGUUGACUUUUGUUUAAUUGCGCAAAACACUACAGGACCUUGAUAUCAAGAAUUUUUCAUUGAAGAUUAUGAAUAAUGAUCUACAGGAAACGAAUGAGCCAACUACGUAGCAGCAAGCAGAUUCCACGUCCCAAAGUGAGAUAUACAGAGCUAAGGAGUAUGAAGGAAAGACGGUAGAACCUCUUUAACAACUCAAUUUUACGGCAAUGAAGUAAUAAGAAUAUCUUCAAUGAUUUCCUUCUUAACCUCACUACAAGGACAGAUUUUUCAUUAUAAUUUCAUACAUGAUGACUGUGAUACUCAAAUUAUUUAAUGUGCAUAUAAAAUACCCAUACGGUUUGAGCCUAUUGCAUAUUAUUUUUAGAGCCUCAAAGAAUAGGAUUUAUUAUUAAAAUGGGUGAAAGAAGUAACGUCAUCUAUAAGAAAGUCUAAAUUUAGUUGAGUAAAUAUAUAGAAUUUAUUUAAAAACUCAAAGGAAUCAUUUUUGUUUUGAGUUAAUUCAUGAUUACAUUUUGAGGGGUUUAAGUAAUCCCUUCAGAAAUUAAAACAUUUUUAGCCAAAAAAGUAUACCAUUAUGUAAAAAUGAACAAGAAUCAAAAAAUAUGUGAGAAACAUUCUUUUAAUUUCUAUGUUAUGAUACUUAGAUAGCUGUAAUAUUAAUUGAAAAAAAUUAGUUGAACUAAGACUAUAAAAAUUUCUUUUCAACUAUGUCUAUCAUGUCAUAUUUUCAUUUAAUGAGAAGAAUUAGUAUUAUUAGAAUAGGAAUAGAUAAAUAAUUUUAUAAUAAUAUAAUGACAUCAGGAAAGAAAUUCUGAUUGGAAUUUAAUAAGGAAAAAUAUUUUUUCGAUGGCUGUCAGAAUAUUUUGUCAAAGAUAUUUCGAAGAAGUGUACGUUUCAAAUUAUUGAAAGUGAUAUAUAAUUUUGAAAAUAUUCAGUUCUGUCUUGACGACUAAAACUGAUAGUGAAAUAAAUUUUUAGUAGCAUACUAUAGAGUUUCAUCCGAAAUAUCUUGCCGAACUCCCAUACAAUUACCUUACUUAAUUUUAUUGUUUUGAAAUAAGGUUUUUCUUGAAUUGACCUUUAUUUUUAUAUAAAAAUUUAAGCAGAUUGAUCUCACAGGUAUGUGCAGGAAGCUUGAUAUUUUUGAAAGUUUUAGCCUUGGAAAUGACCAACUGAAUGUAUAUUUUACGGGGUUUGAUGUAGAUUAAAAAAUUAAACGAUGCUUUCAUCAU